UACAGAGGGUGCAAGCGUUGUUCGGAAUUACUGGGCGUAAAGCGCGUGUAGGCUGCAAUGUAAGUCGGAUGUGAAAGCCCUCAGCUUAACUGAGGAAGUGCAUCUGAUACUGCAUCGCUUGAGUGUCGGAGGGGAUGGCGGAAUUCCCGGUGUAGAGGUGAAAUUCGUAGAUAUCGGGAGGAACACCUGUGGCGAAGGCGGCCAUCUGGACGACGACUGACGCUGAGACGCGAAAAGCGUGGGGUAGCAAACAGGG
rnacentral:rRNA from 1 species